rnacentral:rRNA from 1 species
UCUCCAGACUCCUACGGGAGGCAGCAGUGAGGAAUAUUGGUCAAUGGGCGCGAGCCUGAACCAGCCAAGUCGCGUGAGGGAAGACGGUCCUAUGGAUUGUAAACCUCUUUUGCCGGGGAGCAACGGGGUCCUUGCGAGGGCCCGAUGAGAGUACCCGGAGAAAAAGCAUCGGCUAACUCCGUGCCAGCAGCCGCGGUAAUACGGAGGAUGCGAGCGUUAUCCGGAUUUAUUGGGUUUAAAGGGUGCGCAGGCGGAAGAUCAAGUCAGCGGUAAAAUUGAGAGGCUCAACCUCUUCGAGCCGUUGAAACUGGUUUUCUUGAGUGAGUGAGAAGUAUGCGGAAUGCGUGGUGUAGCGGUGAAAUGCAUAGAUAUCACGCAGAACUCCGAUUGCGAAGGCAGCAUACCGGCGCUCAACUGACGCUCAUGCACGAAAGUGUGGGUAUCGAACAGGAUUAGAUACCCCGGUAC